rnacentral:RNase_P_RNA from 1 species
GAAGCAGGAGGAACAGUCGCGCUCUGAAUCCCAGGGUGAGGAAAGUCCGAGCUCCACAGAAUCGAGGCGCCCGGUAAUACCGGGGCGGAGCGAUCCGACGGAAAGUGCCGCAGAAACUAUACCGCCUCUUUUGAGGUAAGGGUGAAAACGUGGUGUAAGAGACCACGGCCGGCCGCAGAAAUGCAGCCGGCGGGUAAACCCCGCCUGGAGCAAGGCCAAAUAGGGGAAGAGGAGUUGAUUCGCUCCGCUAUCAUUCCCGGGUAGGCCGCUGGAGCAGCCGGGUAACCUGCUGCCAAGAUAAAUGACUGUUGACUCCACACGGAGUUUACAGAACUCGGCUUAUUUCCUGCUUGACAU